ensembl:lncRNA
CCACGGCGGAGCGCACGGAGCGGCGAGGCCCCCCGCAGUAUUGGGGAUACUGGUGAUUGAACUCAUACUAUGCUAUGUCCUCAGCCCUUUUUAAAAUUUUGAGAAAGGAUCUCCCCAAGUUUUCCUGGUGGGACUUGAACUUAAAAUACUCCUGCCUCAGCUUCCCUCAGUGCUAUUAUUAUAGCCCCAGGGCCUUGGAGCCCAGUCCCCGGAGCAGAAGACUGAAGCACAUAGGAAAAUGGAAGACAGAAGAGAGGAACGGACAGGGCAGAGUUAGCGCUCCCACCGAGUGACUCCAAAGGAUUCCUAGAAAAGAUGCAGCUUUCAAAGGCGACUGCAGUGAGGAGUAUCUGUGAACAAUUUCAAGAAUCACUUCUGAAGAAAUACCAGUACAGAAAUUAUUAUGAUUUGCAAUCACACCUGUGUGUACUGAACAACAUGACCUGUGAAAUCCUGCAGUAUAUUAUAGAAGAAGCACAUAAGGAGUGAUAUGGCACAUUCUCAAUUGAGGAUAACUUAUGAAAAACAUUUUAUCCAUUGGACACCUCUUCUUUUUUUUUUGAUAAUUUUCAUACAGUCUUAAUCUAGGUUAUCCAUUUCAGUCAUGUAGUUUGAGAGCAUAAAUAUAGCAAUCACAAAACCAAAAGUAUGUUCAAUACUUUGAAAUUAUUAUUGCUAAUUUUCUUGAUCAUUUUCUAAAUAAUGGAUAAUUAAAUAUUUUCAAGUAUCCACUAUACUUUGUACAAAACUGUACAAAAACAGUGAAAUAUAAUCCUUUGCAUAUACACUCACAUAUACACACUCAUAUUUAUAAAUAUCAAAUGGCAAUGAAUGAUGAAAUAUAAAAACACAAGGACAAAGUCCAUUCCUUUGAUAAAAUAGUAUUUCCAAUUUUACAAUGUAUUCCAGCUACCUGUGGUCAUGUACACCUGUAAUCCCAGUACUCAGAAGGCUGAGGCAGGAAGCUCACCAUGAGUUCAAGGGGAGCAUGGGCUACAUAGUGAGUUCAAGGCCAGCCUGAACUACAUAACAAGACCCUACCUUAAAAACAUAUUCAAAUCAAAUCAAAUGCAUUCCAUAGUGGUUUUACUAAUAUACAUUUCCACCUACAGUGUAGCAGGGUUCUUUUGUCCCCACAGCUUUGCCAGUACCAACUAUUUGUUAUUGAUUGUUUGAUGAUAGCCGUUCUUUCAGGAGUGAAAUGAAAUCUCAGUGUUGUCAUUUGCAUUUCUCUAAUGAUCAGUGAUGUUGAACAUUUAUGCGUUUUAUUGGCCAUUUAUGCUUCAUGUAAGAAGUGUCUAUUCAUUUCAGAUGUCCAUCUUUUGAUUGGGUCUUUUAUUUUGGGGGCUCUAAUUUUUUUGAGUUCUUUAUAUGUUAUAAAUGGAGAACUAAAAAAAAAAAACUAAAGUAGAAAUUCCAUCUGAUCCAGCUAUGUGUCUUCUCACAAGAGUGAAAGAUGUCAUAUUGCAGUGAUAUGCAUUAAUAUGUUUAUAGCAGCACAAAUUAUAAUAGCUAAAUCUUGAAUGUUAUAUGUUCAUGAACAGAUGAAUGGUUAAAAACGAUGUGAUAUUUAUAUACAUAAUGAAGUAAUUUUCUGCCAUGAAGAAGGAUAAAACUUGAGUAAUUUGUAGGAAAAUGGAUGCACUUUGAGACCAUAAUGUUAACCAAAAUGAAUCAGACACACAAGCUUAGAUAUUGCAUGAUUUCUCUUAUAUGUGAACCCCAAAAUUCAAAUAAAGAACAAAAGAAUAAAU